CUGAAUCAAGGACAGAUGAAAUGCAGGAUCUUUUUCAAAAUGAUAUGAGUGAGAAAAAACAAAGGAAACCACAUCAUGGCGGUAUGAAGAAAAAGUCCUCAUUCAAGAGCAAGUCGGGUAUGAAGAAGAAGUCCUCAUUCAAGAGCAAAUCACGGUAUGACUAUUAAAAACUUUUCUCAUUCUUAAGCUCAGAUGGAUAUGUAUGCGAAUCUGUCAAGAGUAUAACUUGCAUUUUACUAUUUUCCUUGAUUUAAUUUUAUAAAUUAUUAAAUUUAUAUUUAGAAAAGUAACUGAAUACUUAUAUAGGCCACGGUGAUGUAGACUCGAGACUGGGGUCUCAGU
rnacentral:lncRNA from 1 species